rnacentral:rRNA from 1 species
GGUGAGUGGCGGACGGGUGCGUAACGCGUGGGAACGUGCCUCUGGGUGCGGAAUAACCAUUGGAAACGAUGGCUAAUACCGCAUAACAUCUACGGAUCAAAGAUUUAUCGCCCAGAGAUCGGCCCGCGUUAGAUUAGGUAGUUGGUGGGGUAAUGGCCUACCAAGCCGACGAUCUAUAGCUGGUCUGAGAGGAUGAUCAGCCACACUGGGACUGAGACACGGCCCAGACUCCUACGGGAGGCAGCAGUCAGGAAUAUUGGACAAUGGGCGCAAGCCUGAUCCAGCCAUGCCACGUGAGUGAUGAAGGCCUUCGGGUUGUAAAACUCUUUCAGGUGCAAAGAUAAUGACGGUAGCACCAGAAGAAGCCCCGGCUAAAUUCGUGCCAGCAGCCGCGGUAAUACGAAUGGGGCAAGCGUUGUUCGGAAUCACUGGGCGUAAAGCGUACGCAGGCGGCCAUCCAAGUCAGAAGUGAAAUCCCACGGCUCAACCAUGGAAUUGCUUUUGAAACUGGAUGGCUAGAGUCCCGGAGAGGUUGGCGGAAUUCCGAGUGUAGAGGUGAAAUUCGCAGAUAUUCGGAGGAACACCAGUGGCGUAGGCGGCCAACUGGACGGGAACUGACGCUCAGGUACGAAAGCGUGGGGAUCAAACAGGAUUAGAUACCCUGGUAGUCCACGCUGUAAACGAUGUGUGCUAGUUAUCGGGGGCUCACGCCUUCGGUGACACAGCUAACGCGUUAAGCACACCGCCUGGGGAGUACGGUCGCAAGAUUAAAACUCAAAGGAAUUGACGGGGACCCGCACAAGCGGUGGAGCAUGUCGUUUAAUUCGAAGCAACGCGAAGAACCUUACCCACACUUGACAUCCCGGUCGCGGGAUCCAGAGAUGGAUCCCUUCAGUUCGGCUGGACCGGUGACAGGUGCUGCAUGGCUGUCGUCAGCUCGUGUCGUGAGAUGUUGGGUUAAGUCCCGCAACGAGCGCAACCCUUAUCGUCUGUUACCAGCGAGUAAUGUCGGGGACUCAGGCGAGACUGCCGGUGAUAAGCCGGAGGAAGGCGGGGACGAGGUCAAGUCAUCAUGGCCCUUACGUGUGGGGCUACAGACGUGCUACAAUGGCUACUACAGUGGGCAGCAAAGUCGCGAGGCUAAGCUAAUCUCCAAAAGUAGUCUCAGUUCGGAUUGUUCUCUGCAACUCGAGAGCAUGAAGUUGGAAUCGCUAGUAAUCGUGAAUCAGCAUGUCACGGUGAAUACGUUCCCGGGCCUUGUACACACCGCCCGUCACGUCAUGGAAGCUGGUUACGCCUGAAGUCGGGAAGCUAACCGCAAGGAAGCUACCGCCGAGGGCAGGACU